AAAUAUCCGCAUCAUGUAUAUAAGUAGCCUAUGUAUCUAAUAUGCCUGUCAUUGUAUAUAAUAAGCCUGUCAUUUUCUUCUUAUUUGGGACAAAAAUUAUUUCAGAACGUAGCAUCCUAAAAUUCCAUUCCUAAGGUUCCGAUCACUGGCUCAAGUGGGAUCUGCCCAUGGUCUGCUUUUCUUCCCUUGUCAAAGCUGACUUUCCCACUCUCUAACCUUACACAGUAAACAAAAAGAUGGAAAAGUUUACGAAAGAGCGAGUGGACGAGUGGUGGCAGCAGCAAUGCAGUGGUGAUGGGUCUUGUGAAGACAUUAUGUCCAGCCACUUCCAACAACAAUUCAGCAUUGCAGAUGCAAUGAACUCUGCUGGAGCAUCUAAAGGUCUGCAGAAGAAGAUUAUUAUGGCUGGAGGAAUUAUAAAGGGGAAACUGUAAGUGAAAAGGGGGUUCAGUGUUUCACCUUUUCCCUGCCCCUUGCCUGCCUCAGAUCGACUUCUCUUGGUAUAAGAAACAGCCACAUGAAUUUUCUCACAUGGAUCUCAGUUGAAUAUGUACUUUGGCUGCAAACAAUAUUAUUUUCAAGGAUGUAAAUUUUAAAAUAAUUGGUUUUAUAAGCUAGAUCAAAUAAGAGGCAGGAAUGGUGUGGGAAUAGAGCUUGAUUUUCAAAAAAUCUGUCUGGUAAGUAUACAUGUUUAGCCUCACAAAAUGUAUACCAUUGAUAGGGCAGAGUCUGUUAUUUAUGAAACUCACCUGCUUAAAGAUUUUUAAUUUGAUCAAAUAAUUUGCUGAUCAGUUAACCCAGUUUCAUUAUAUUUGCAUACAUGCAGGUGCCUUUUUAAAUUACUUAAUGAAGUCUACAGCAACGUAUUAUUUAAUAAAGGAGUGGUUUAUUUUUGGAAAUCUGUAUUU
rnacentral:lncRNA from 1 species